rnacentral:rRNA from 1 species
CAUAGCGACUAUCGUGGCAUAUCAAUAAGCGGAGGAAAAGAAACUAACAAGGAUUCCCUUAGUAACGGCGAGUGAAGCGGGAAGAGCUCAAAUUUGAAAUCUUCAAGGUUCUACCUUGACGAGUUGUAGUUUAUAGAAGUGUUUUCUGUUAGUAGGAGUAGUAAAAGUUCUUUGGAAUAGGACAUCAUAGAGGGUGAGAAUCCCGUAUUUGGUCAUUCUUUCUAGCUUUGUGAUACACUUUCAACGAGUCGGAUUGUUUGGGAAUGCAGUCCAAAAUGGGUGGUAAAUUUCAUCUAAAGCUAAAUAUUGGCGAGAGACCGAUAGCGAACAAGUACCGUGAGGGAAAGAUGAAAAGAACUUUGAAAAGAGAGUUAAACAGUACGUGAAAUUGUCAAAAGGGAAGCGUUUGACACCAGUGUUGUUUUUCCGAAAAUCAAUUACGAAUGUUUUAUUUUUGAGAAGUUAUGACUUCAUCGGCUUGCUCCUUUCUUUAUGAAACUUUCUUAAUGCACUUUUCGGUUAACAAGUCAACAUCAAUUUCUCUUGUUGUAAAAGGGUAUGAGGAAGGUGGCUUUCUUUUCGGAGAAAGUGUUUAUAGCCUUGUACCUCUGCAAUCGGAGAGAUUGAGGUCUGCAGCGUAGAUCCUUCGGGGUUAGAUACAUUUGUGCUAAGUUAUAGCUUUUCAUAGACAACUUGUUGACUAUGUUUAGUCUUGUAGCUUACUCGCUUACUGCUAUUUUACCUACGCUUAGGAUGUUGAUAGUCACAGCGUGUA